GACGAACGCUGGCGGCGUGCUUAACACAUGCAAGUCGAACGGUGAAGGGACCGGUUUUUGCUGGUUCUGGAUGAGUGGCGAACGGGUGAGUAACACGUGAGUAACCUGCCCCCUUCUUCUGGAUAACCGCAUGAAAGUGUGGCUAAUACGGGAUAUUCUGCGCCUGCUGCAUGGUGGGUGUGGGAAAGAUAUUGUUUCGGUGGGGGAUGGGCUCGCGGCCUAUCAGCUUGUUGGUGGGGUGAUGGCCUACCAAGGCGGUGACGGGUAGCCGGCCUGAGAGGAUGGACGGUCACACUGGGACUGAGACACGGCCCAGACUCCUACGGGAGGCAGCAGUGGGGAAUAUUGCACAAUGGGCGCAAGCCUGAUGCAGCGACGCCGCGGGAGGGAUGGAGGCCUUCGGGUUGUAAACCUCUUUCGCCAGUGAAGCAGGCCUGUCCCUUUUGUGGGUGGGUUGACGGUAGCUGGAUAAGAAGCGCCGGCUAACUACGUG
rnacentral:rRNA from 1 species